CAAACGGGUGCGGAACACGUACACAACCUUCCUUAAAGUGGGGGAUAGCCCAGAGAAAUUUGGAUUAAUACCCCGUAACAUUAUGAGAUGGCAUCAUUUUAUAAUUAAAGCUCCGGCGCUUAGAGAUGGGUGUGCGGCUGAUUAGGUAGUUGGCGGGGUAACGGCCCACCAAGCCUUCGAUCAGUAACUGGUGUGAGAGCACGACCAGUCACACGGGCACUGAGACACGGGCCCG
rnacentral:rRNA from 1 species